GGAUGAUGUGUUCAAUUUGCGGCCGACUCUGUGACGCGAUUUUAUGCCUGCUUGGCUGACU
rnacentral:snoRNA from 1 species